GGCUACGUAGCUCAGCUGGUUAGAGCACAUCACUCAUAAUGAUGGGGUCACAGGUUCGAAUCCGUCGUAGCCACCA
rnacentral:tRNA from 2 species